rnacentral:pre_miRNA from 1 species
GGCACGCAGUCCUGUGGCAUCCAUGACCCUACCUUCAACUCCAUCAUGAAGUGUGACGUGGAUAUCUACAAAGACCUGCAGGCC